UACAGAGGUCUCAAGCGUUGUUCGGAUUCAUUGGGCGUAAAGGGCGCGUAGGCUGCGGGGCAAGUCGGGUGUGAAAUCUCAGGGCUCAACCCUGAAACUGCACUCGAUACUGCUCUGCUUGAGGACUGGAGAGGAGACUGGAAUUCACGGUGUAGCAGUGAAAUGCGUAGAUAUCGUGAGGAAGACCAGUGGCGAAGGCGGGUCUCUGGACAGUUCCUGACG
rnacentral:rRNA from 1 species